GCCCAGGUGGCGGAACGGUUUACGCGCACGACUCAAAAUCGUGUGGUCUCACGACCAUGUGGGUUCAAAUCCCACCCUGGGUA
rnacentral:tRNA from 1 species